rnacentral:tRNA from 1 species
GGGGUUGUGGCUCAGCAGUAGAGCGCUCACUUAGCAUGUGCGAGGUGCUGGGUUCGAUCCUUAGCACCACA